rnacentral:rRNA from 1 species
AAAUUGACGGGGACCCGCACAAGCAGCGGAGCAUGUGGUUAAUUCGAAGCAACGCGAAGAACCCUACCAGGUCUUGACAUCCUCUUGCAAGGACCCUAGCCGGCCCCUCCUUCGGGACAAGAGAGACAGGUGGUGCAUGGUUGUCGUCAGCUCGUGUCGUGAGAUGUUGGGUUAAGUCCCGCAACGAGCGCAACCCUUGUGUUUAGUUGCCAACAGGUUAAGCUGUGCACUCUAAACAGACUGCCGUGGAUAACACGGAGGAAGGUGGGAUGACGUCAAAUCAUCAUGCCCCUUAUGAUCUGGGCUACACACGUGCUACAAUGGUCGGUACAACGGGCAGCGAAAGAGCGAUCUGGAGCGAAUCCUAAAAAGCCGAUCCCAGUUCGGAUUGCAGGCUGAAACUCGCCUACAUGAAGUUGGAGUUGCUAGUAACCGCGCGUCAGCUAUAGUGCGGUGAAUACGUUCCCGGGGCUU